GUGGUGUGUAGGUCUGUUCCGGAGAUCCAAACCCGCGAACCCUGGACUGCCAAAGCAGAGCAGAAGAACUUAACCAUUAGGCCACCAGGCAGGCCCCAUGUAACAGACUUUUUCAAAGUCACAGGGAGUCACAAGUCACCUCCAACCCAAUCAAGCCUGCAGAGCUUGUGGGAUCUCACAGGUUUCUCUUCAAAGCGUGCUGUGGAUCCCUGCUGGCACCACUUCCAGGAUAAGGAACAUCGCACCCAUGAAGAAAGGAAGACCAGAAAUGUGAAUUUAAAAGUCAAGCACCCAAGAACCCCAGCAAUCUCAUCAACACUUCAGAUGCCUCAGAAAUGCAUCGGAAUUUUUAAAAAUUGAUUCUACGCAUCUCCCCCCUCCACGUCUCUCCUGACCACGUGGGAUUUGCAGCAGAAUACACAUGAAAUAGACACAUCCCCUGAAGUGUAAUAGAUUUGAAUUGCACACAAGUUGGUGAAUGAAUGUCUAAAUAAUUAGGAGGUUAAUUAAUCUAAAAUAUAGGAGGAUGAGAGAAAUUUGAAGCUACAGAUUCAACAGAGAAGCCUGCAAGCCUGUCUUGCUAAUGAAAAUAGAAGGAGGUGAGAGACUGAGGCGACCGAAGAUGGAAACGAAGCCGGUUACUCCAAUGGGCAGCCAAUUUCCCAGGUCCCGUGGGCUUGACUGUGUGCUGCUGGCAGUCAAGUCUCUUAGUAGCAGAGAUCGAGUACACAGAUGCUAGAGCCAGACGAUAGAGACUCAAAUUCAGGCUUUGAUGCUUGUGACCUUGGGCAAAUUAUUUAAUCUCUCUGAACCUCAGUCUUCUCAUCCGUAAACAGGGAUGAUAUUAAUAGCACUGACCUCAUAAUGUUAUUGUAAUGAUUAAUUAAGCCCAUAGAAGUAAAACAUUUGAAACACAGUGAAAUCUCAGUAAAUGUUAGUUCUUACUAGCUGGAAAGCAGUGUCCUAGAGCAGUGGCUUUCUCAAAUUUUUUGACUGUGUGUCACAUUUUAUGCAUUAUCACUCAGAACAUACAAAUACAUAUGUUAUAGUUAUACCCACAUAUGUAUGUGUGUGUGUAUAUCUAUGUAUGUGUCCGUGUAUAUAUAUGUAUGUGUAUGUAUAUAUAUGUAUAUAUAUGUUUCAUUAAACACUAGUUGUUUUUACCUGUACAAUACAGUCAUAUUUUACUUUCGAUUUUAUUUCAUUUUUGAAAAUGCUGGGUGCAACCCGCUAAAGUGACUUCAUGACACUAUUGGGUCUCAGUUGGCAAUUUAAAAAAACUGGCUUGGUGGAAAGCACAUAGAUUUUGGUGUUAAAAAAAAAUCCUGGGACCAGAUCUCCCCCCACCACUUACUAGCUG
rnacentral:lncRNA from 1 species